rnacentral:rRNA from 1 species
UGGAGUGAUUUGUCUGGUUAAUUCCGUUAACGAACGAGACCUUAACCUGCUAAAUAGUGUACAGGACUUCGGUGCUUGACUUACUUCUUAGAGGGACUUCGUGUGUUUAACAUGAGGAAGUUUGAGGCAAUAACAGGUCUGUGAUGCCCUUAGAUGUCCUGGGCUGCACGCGCGCUACACUGAUGUGUCCAGUAAGCAUCUAACCUCAUCCGAAGGGAUCGGGUAACCUUUGCAACGCACAUCGUGAUGGGGACAGAUUAUUGCAAUUAUUAGUCUUGAACGAGGAAUUCCUAGUAACCACAAGUCAUCAGCUUGUGUUGAUUAUGUCCCUGCCCUUUGUACACACCGCCCGUCGCUCCUACCGAUUGAAUGAUCCGGUGAAUACUUCGGACUGCGAAAGGUGUAGAUUCUAUACUAUUCACAGAAAGUUGAAUAAACCUUAUCAUUUAGAGGAAGGAGAAGUCGUAACAAGGUUUCCGUAG